AUGUCACGCAGUCGAAAGAGCAGGCACUUCUGGAGCGAGGAGGAGACGGAUCUGCUGCUGCAGACGCUGAAGCAGAUGAACAUCGACCGCUACACCGACGGACGGAAGCACCGCAACAGCCUGAUCUUCCGGAAGGUGUGCGCGCGGCACCGGGAGGCCGGCUUCGCGCGCUCCUGCGACCAGGUCAAGCACCGCUGGAAGACGCUCAAGGCCAUCUACUACAAAGCCAAGAGGCAGAGCAGCAGCUCCAGCUUCAAGCACUUCGACACGAUGGAGGAGAUCUUCGGACACAGGCCUUUGGUGCUCGUCACGAGCCCCCGCAGCGACCACAGAGACGGAUCCGCUCGCGACAGCAGAGAUGAUGAAGAAGAGGAGGAGGAGGAAGAGGAGGGUGAGGAGGAGGAGGGUGAGGAAGAUAAUGUAGAGGAUGAUGUGGAAGGUGGAAUCCAGGAAAUCCAGUCAGUGAAGAUGGAGAACGAGCCCCUGAUCCUCACACAAGCGUCACAAGAGAGCUCCAGCGCGUCCACAGAGACCUCCACCUCCAGCUCCACGCAGCCGAGCGCCGCUCCAGGCGUGCUGAAGCGCAGACGCUCGUGUUGCGCUGGGCUGCACACUCAGUAUCAGGGCUUUCUGGAGAGACUGCAGCAGACGCAGAACGCCUGGCUGGAGCAGCAGCUGGAGCAGAGUCACGUCCGAGAGGAGCGUCUGGUGGCACAAGUGCUGGCAGAACACACCCGAUCCAUGGAGGCUUUGGUCAACCAGCUGUUCGCGGGCUUGAGGAGCCUCCUGCCACCGUCCCAUCCCCAGACGUCAGCCCUGCAGAGCAGCAGUCCUGAAUCCUGA
ensembl:lncRNA